AAAAACAAUACAAGAAUGUCAAUUAGAGGCAUGAGGGCACGUUCUUCAUUAUUAAGAACUGAGACAGGAAAAGCACUAGUCUGAGCUGAGACCAGUUCAUCCCUGUGCUCCUGAGCUUGGAGCUUGUUCACACAGCAGCCUUUGCAGAUCAGCACUCCUGCCUCAGUGACAUCAUUGCCCAUGACAGACCUCGGGAAUUGUUAUUUUAGAGGAAAGGAGUAUGUUGCAGAAAUAAGAAGUAAGGAAGGUUGCUGCAAAGAGCCAUCUCAUAUUUCAUCCAUUGAAAUUUCUUAAAUGUCAAGUCUGGACGUUUCUUUGUUAAUAAACAUUUCUAUUUUUCUGAGGAAUUUGGA